UAGCCAAUAAUACCAAUGAUAAUUUAAUCAUAAGCAUUAUUGGAAUAAUGUUAAUAAAUGAUGAAUAAAAAAUGAUUGCAACACAAUGUUGCGGUAAUAUUAAAAAAAUAAUGAAAAACAAAUGUAAAUAAGUUAUUAUCUUAAGCUUGUUUUAAUAUUACACCAAUGUUAAUUCAAUGAUAUCAGUGCGCAUGCGUGAAUGCGUGCGCAUCCAUGAGUCGCACACUCUGCUACUCCGUCCGCCAUCACCGCAUCAAGAAACAAACACUGAACGGCUAACGGCUACGCUUCAUGCAAUUUUCGUUUUGUUCUUCGUUCUGCGAGUCGUUUGUCUGCUCUUAAGAGUUUAAAAUACACCCAUGUAAGGAUCCUUGAUGUUAUCAACACACGCACCGUUCAGCAAAUAUUACAGGCCGGGCGAGGAUGGCUUCGACCCUGUGGAGCAGACGAUGAACGAGCUGGAAGAGGGACAAGGACAAUGCGCGGCUGGACAAGAAGAUGGCGAAGUUCGUCGGCUUUGAGCCGGGCCACUUUUCACGUCGCCGCCUAGUGCCCAAGGACAUCCACGACCCGCACCCGUUUACCUUGUGGACUUUCUCCUCAUGUUGCUGCCCUAAUCGUCUUUUCUGAUCGAGAACUACCCUAGCUCCAUGAACAUCCACCUUCCACGAAAGUGGCCCCACGUACCGCCACACCAAUAAACUACUUUGGAACUCAAAAUAAUUAAUUUUAUGUCCUUGCGUCAUGCGUUCGUGCAGAAUUGCAUUUGUAUUCACCCGGUAUUUUUCUCCACUGGUUUUUAAUUGCUGUUUGAGCAACUCAAUUUUUACCAAUUUAUUGCGCAUUAAAUUGACUUUUGUCAUUUCCUCCUAGGUAUUAAUAUUAUAUAAAAUUAGAGGUCGGAGUGGUCAAAAUUUACAAGUAGAUAUUUCCUUUUAAAUUUUCAUUUGCCUCAAUUUCUCAAUAAAUUUAUCUCAGACAAUUUUUCUAGUCGCAUGAGCAAUUUAGAAAAAUAUUGAAAACUUAAGUGAAAACAUGGCCUGCAAGAAACUGGUGAAAAUUGAUAAAAAAAACCUUAUUGCUACCACUUCACUGCAUUUUUUUUAAUUUGGGCGUUUUGGAACCUUUGGUCCUUGACUUAAAAAAUAUUAAUGACUUUUAUGAGCACUGGCACCAAAAAGGGCGGUCAGAAAUUGAUGAGGUACUUGUCAUGUGUGCUAAUGGCCUGAACUUUAUAUUAUACAGAGCCGCCAUUAUUGUUUCCCAUUUUUGUCACUGUCAAUGCGGCCCGUCGGGCCGAACGAUUUGAGAAAAUCAAAAGUGGCACUCUAAUUAAAAUUAAUUUUGCAUUUAAAUUUUUCAAAAUUCGUUAAUAACAAUGCUAGAACUGACAGUUAUUAUUAAAUGCCAAAUUAAUUUUAAUUAGUGUGUCACUUUUGAUUUUGUCGAAUCGUUCGGCCCGACGGGCCGCAUUGACAGUGACAAAAAUGGGAAACAAUAAUAGCCGCUCUGUAUAAUAUAAAGUUCAGGCCAUCAGCACACAUGACAAGUCCCUCAUCAAUUUCUGACCACCCCUUAUUCAUGCCAGUGUCGACGUCGCUCUGUGUCCCGACAGGACGACGAUUUGACUAAGUGGCCAACAUGUAUUAUGUAGUGCUGAUUUUAAGUAUUUCCCUACUUAAACCCAACGACUUUGUCUCAAUCCCUGCUGUGCACUUCAAUGUACAUUGUAAAACUAGAAUGCUGUGACUAGAGAGAAACCCAACUGUUUUAUGUGAAAUGACGUAUAAAUAAUUUUUUAUAAGUUAUAUAACUCUUCUGUGACUUACAAGUGUUACAAUAAUUUGUCUAGAUAUAAUAAAAAUAUAAAAUAAUUAAAUAAAA